CAAGUCGUACGAGAAAGUGGAGCAAUCCAUGAGUAAAGUGGCGACCGGGUGAGUAACACGUGACUACCUACCUUCUAGUGGGGGAUAACUCCGGGAAACCGGAGCUAAUACCGCAUAACAUCGCAAGAUCAAAGCAGCAAUGCGCUGGAAGAGGGGGUCGCGGCUGAUUAGCUAGUUGGUAGGGUAAUGGCCUACCAAGGCAAAGAUCGGUAUCCGGCCUGAGAGGGCGCACGGACACACUGGAACUGAAACACGGUCCAGACUCCUACGGGAGGCAGCAGUGGGGAAUUUUGCGCAAUGGGGGAAACCCUGACGCAGCAACGCCGCGUGGAGGAUGAAGUCCCUUGGGACGUAAACUCCUUUCGACCAAGACGAUAAUGACGGUACUGGUGGAAGAAGCACCGGCUAACUCUGUGCCAGCAGCCGCGGUAAUACAGAGGGUGCGAGCGUUGUUCGGAAUUAUUGGGCGUAAAGGGCGCGUAGGCGGCGCCACAAGUCACUUGUGAAAACUCUGGGCUCAACUCAGAGCCUGCAAGCGAAACUGUGGUGCUGGAGUAUGGGAGAGGUGCGUGGAAUUCCCGGUGUAGCGGUGAAAUGCGUANAUAUCGGGAGGAACACCUGUGGCGAAAGCGGCGCACUGGACCAUAACUGACGCUGAGGCGCGAAAGCUAGGGGAGCAAACAGGAUUAGAUACCCUGGUAGUCCUAGCCCUAAACGAUGAUUGCUUGGUGUGAUCGGUACCCAAUCCGAUCGUGCCGAAGCUAACGCGAUAAGCAAUCCGCCUGGGGAGUACGGUCGCAAGACUGAAACUCAAAGG
rnacentral:rRNA from 1 species